rnacentral:rRNA from 1 species
AUUGAACGCUGGCGGCAGGCCUAACACAUGCAAGUCGAGCGGAGCUGCGGACGGGUGAGUAAUGCCUAGGAAUCUGCCUGGUAGUGGGGGAUAACGUCCGGAGACGGGCGCUAAUACCGCAUACUAGAAGAGGGGCCUAGGUCGGAUUAGCUAGUUGGUGGGGUAAAGGCCUACCAAGGCGACGAGCCGUAACGGGUCUGAGAGGAUGAUCAGUCACACUGGAAUUGAGACAAGGUCCAGACUCCUACGGGAGUCAGCAGUUGGGAAGAUUGUGCAAUGGGCGAAAGGCUGAUCGAGCCAAGCCGCGUGUGUGAAGAAGGUCUUCGGAUCGUAAAGCUCUUUUUGUUGGGAGGCGUUACCUACAGAAUAAGCACCGGCUAACUUCGUGCCAGCCGCCGCGGUAAUAC